CCUACGGGUGGCAGCAGUGAGGAAUAUUGGUCAAUGGGCGCGAGCCUGAACCAGCCAAGUAGCGUGAAGGAUGACUGCCCUACGGGUUGUAAACUUCUUUUAUAAAGGAAUAAAGUGAGGAACGUGUGCCUUUUUGUAUGUACUUUAUGAAUAAGGAUCGGAUAACUCCGUGCCAGCAGCCGCGGUAAUACGGAGGAUACGAGCGUUAUCCGGAUUUAUUGGGUUUAAGGGGAGCGUAGAUGGGUUGUUAAGUCAGUUGUGAAAGUUGGCGGCGCAACCGUAAAAUUGCAAUUGAUACUGGCAGCCUUGAGUACAGUUGAGGUAGGCGGAAUUCGUGGUGUAGCGGUGAAAUGCUUAGAUAUCACGAAGAACUCCGAUUGCGAAGGCAGCUUACUAAACUGCCACUGACAUUGAUGCUCGAAAGUGUGGGUAUCAAACAGGAUUAGAUACCCGAGUAGUC
rnacentral:rRNA from 1 species